GUGCUGGCUUCCUAGCACGAUGUACCAAAAUUGGAACCAUACAGAGAUUAGCCUAGCCCCUGGGCAAGGAUGACAUACAAAGUCAUGAAGCAUUCCAUAUUUAA
ensembl:snRNA U6 U6 spliceosomal RNA